CCUACGGGAGGCAGCAGUGGGGAAUAUUGCACAAUGGAGGAAACUCUGAUGCAGCGACGCCGCGUGAGUGAAGAAGUAAUUCGUUAUGUAAAGCUCUAUCAGCAGGGAAGAUAGUGACGGUACCUGACUAAGAAGCUCCGGCUAAAUACGUGCCAGCAGCCGCGGUAAUA
rnacentral:rRNA from 1 species